rnacentral:lncRNA from 1 species
UGAGCCUUCAGACUCAAACUGGGAUGCACAUCAUUGUUCUCCUGGUUCUCAGGACUUUGGACUUGCACUGGAAUUACACCCCAGCUUUCCUGAUUCUACAGUUUGAAGAUGGUAGAUUGUGGGACUUCUCAGACUCCAUAAUGAGGACAAGUUGCAGCAAUCAACUCUGACUUAAACAAUAGCGAAAGGGCAUUGGUGAGGACACCAGGAAGCUGAUGAAUACACAGCCUUCAGCAACAUCGGGAGUCAGAGCUGCUCCAGGGAUCUUGGCAGGAGGGAUUUGUGGCUCUCCUUCCAGAAUGCUGUCAAGGGUGACAGAGGCCUAAGCACCUUUCAUCCUCAUGUAAUUUGUGCUCCAGAUUUGAAGACCAGGGUGGAAGAACCUCAUUGGCUUUCCUUAUGUCACCUGCUCUGCUAAUAGGUGGUAUCGUUUGAUUGGCACCUCUGCCAUUCCCACGUAGAGUGGAAAAGGGCAAUCAGACAGAAACAGAAGGUGCCGUCUGCCUCCCUCCUCCCUACCCCUUCCCCUGCCACCCACAACCCUACAGAUUGGGAAAGGUAGAAUUAGGAAGUAUGUUUAGAAUUUUUGGUGUGUGGUCUGGACCUCUAAGAUGGCUCAUCAUAGCCUAGCUGGAAAAUGGAAAGCCUCCGUCAGAAAUUAAAAAUCAAAUGUAACAGUGCUGUUGACUCUCAUACGACUCUCCUCCAGUCACCCUUCACUUGUCAUGUCAGUGUCAGCAUUUGUGGUAAUGGUUUGGGAUGUGGAAGGGGGAGUGAGAAGGGAGAUAAUCCUUCUUCUUCUCCUUCUUCUUCUGAG